rnacentral:rRNA from 2 species
AAAAGGUCAAGCUAAGAAGGGCGCAGGGCGAAUGCCUUGGCACCAGGAGACGAUGAAGGACGCGAUAAGCUGCGAAAAGCCGCGGGGAGCUGCAAAUAAGUAUUGAUCCGCGGAUGUCCGAAUGGGGCAACCCACCUAGAGUCAUGUCUAGGUAUCCUGUACUGAAUACAUAGGUGCAGGAGGUGAACCGCCUGAACUGAAACAUCUAAGUAGGGCGAGGAAGAGAAAUCAAACGAGAUUCCGAAAGUAGUGGCGAGCGAAAUCGGAAGAGGCCAAACCAGGGGUAGAAAUACCUCUGGGGUUGUGGACUGCAUUUAGGAUUGUGCGAGUUUAAGAGAACGGCAUGGGAAGGCCGGCCAGAGAGGGUGAGAGCCCCGUAUCUGAAAAGCGAGCGCACCGAGCAGGAUCCAGAGUACCGCGGGACACGAGGAAUCCCGUGGGAAGCCGGGGGGACCACCCUCCAAGCCUAAAUACUACCUGGUGACCGAUAGCGUAUAGUACUGUGAAGGAAAGGUGAAAAGAACCCCGGGAGGGGAGUGAAAUAGAACCUGAAACCCUGUGCCUACAAGCACAUAGAGCACGUCAAAGUGUGAUAUGGUACUUUUUGUAGAACGGUCCGGCGAGUGUAUGUAUGCAGCGAGGUUAAGGGCUUAAGGCCUGAAGCCGCAGGGAAACCGAGUCUGAAUAGGGCGAAUUAGUUGCAUGUAUAUGACCCGAAACCGGGUGACCUAUCCAUGUCCAGGUUGAAGUUGGGGUAAGACCCAAUGGAGGACCGAACCGACCCCUGUUGAAAAAGUGGCGGAUGAGGUGUGGAUAGCGGAGAAAUUCUAAUCGAACCCGGAUAUAGCUGGUUCUCCCCGAAAUAGCUUUAGGGCUAGCCUUGCGUUAGAUUUCCGGAGGUAAAGCACUGAAUGGGCUAGGGGCCGAGAGGUUACUGAACCCUAUCAAACUAAGAAUGCCGGAAAAUCGAUGCGCAGGAGUCAGACUAUGGGAGAUAAGUUUCAUAGUCAAGAGGGAAACAGCCCAGACCCACAGCUAAGGUCCCCAAACAGGUUUAAGUGGAAAAGGAUGUGGGGGUGCACAGACAACUAGGAUGUUGGCUUAGAAGCAGCCAUACAUUAAAAGAGUGCGUAAUAGCUCACUAGUCGAGUGCCCCUGCGCCGAAAAUGUAACGGGGCUAAAACCUGUACCGAAGCUUGGGCAUCGUCGUAAGAUGAUGGGUAGGGGAGCGUCGCAUGCGGGGUGAAGCCAUAGCGGAAGCGGUGGUGGACUGCAUGGGAGUGAGAAUGCCGGAAUGAGUAGCGCGAAUCAUGUGAGAAUCAUGAUGGCCGAAAGCCUAAGGUUUUUGGAGGAAGGUUCGUCCGCUCCAAGUUAGUCGGGAGCUAAGGUGAGGCCGAAAGGCGUAGCCGAUGCACAUACGGUAGAGAUUCCGUAACCACCGAAAGUUUUAAGCAGAGGGACACUCUGAAAGGGCAUGACCCGGGCGAUGGUAGACCCGGGCGUAAGGGACUGAAAUUUAGUAGGGAAGCAUGCUUGGACGGAGGCGAGAAAAGCUCUGGGAAUAACUGAGGUGCCCGUACCGCAAACCGACACAGGUAGGUAGGAAGAAGAUUCUAAGGCCAACGGGAGAAGGGUUGUUAAGGAACUCGGCAAAUUGACCCCGUAACUUAGGGAUAAGGGGUGCUCAUGGAAACAUGAGCCGCAGAGAAUAGAGCCAGGCGACUGUUUAGCAAAAACACAGGUCUCUGCUAAAUCGAAAGAUGAAGUAUAGGGGCUGACACCUGCCCGGUGCUGGAAGGUUAAGGAGAUGAGUGCAAGCUUUGACCCGAAGCCCCAGUGAACGGCGGCCGUAACUAUAACGGUCCUAAGGUAGCGAAAUUCCUUGUCGGGUAAGUUCCGACCCGCACGAAUGGUGUAACGAUCUGGUUACUGUCUCAACAACCCGCCCGGCGAAAUUGUAGUACCGGUGAAGAUGCCGGUUACCCGCGACAAGACGGAAAGACCCCAUGGAGCUUUACUGCAGCCUGAUAUUGGAUUUCGGUAUUACAUGUACAGGAUAGGUGGGAGACUGGGAAGCCAAGGCGUCAGCUUUGGUGGAGUCGACCUUGGGAUACCACUCUUGUAGUGCUGGAAUUCUAACUUGCGGCCGUGAAACCGGCCGGAGGACAUUGUCAGGUGGGCAGUUUGACUGGGGCGGUCGCCUCCUAAAAGGUAUCGGAGGCGCUCAAAGGUUGGCUCAGCAUGGACGGAAACCAUGCCAGAGAGUGUAAACGCACAAGCCAGCCUGACUGCGAGACUGACAAGUCGAGCAGGAACGAAAGUUGGAGUUAGUGAUCCGGCGGUAUGUGAGUGGAAAUGCCGUCGCUCAACGGAUAAAAGCUACCCUGGGGAUAACAGGCUGAUCUCCCCCAAGAGUCCACAUCGACGGGGAGGUUUGGCACCUCGAUGUCGGCUCAUCGCAUCCUGGGGCUGAAUUCGGUCCCAAGGGUUUGGCUGUUCGCCAAUUAAAGCGGUACGCGAGCUGGGUUCAGAACGUCGUGAGACAGUUCGGUCCCUAUCUGUCGUGGGCGCAGGAUAUUUGAGAGGAGCUGUCCCUAGUACGAGAGGACCGGGAUGGACGCACCUCUGGUGCACCAGUUGUCACGCCAGUGGCACAGCUGGGCAGCUAAGUGCGGAACGGAUAAACGCUGAAAGCAUCUAAGCGUGAAGCCGACCUCAAGAUAAGAUAUCCCACUGAGUCAAUCAGGUAAGACCCCUUGAAGACUACGAGGUAGAUAGGCUGCAGGUGUACGCACGGUGACGUGUUGAGCUGGGCAGUACUAAUCGGUCGAGGGCUUGACCUU